GAAAUGCGAUAAGUAAUGUGAAUUGCAGAAUUCAGUGAAUCAUCGAAUCUUUGAACGCACCUUGCGCUCCUUGGUAUUCCUUGGAGCAUGCCUGUUUGAGUGUCUUGAAUAUCUCUGCUCCUCAAUUUUUUAUUAAAUUGGCUUGGAGUCAGGUCCUUGGGCUUGCUUGCGGUUUGUUACGAACACAUGCUUGCCUUAAAUGUAUUAGCUGGAUUUCAGUAGAGUUGUUAAGUAACAUUGAAAACUCUCGUAAUAUGAAGUCUGCUUCUAACCCGAUGCCGUAAAAAAGCACAAUUAUUCAUUUCUUUGGCCUCAAAUCAGGUAGGACUACCCGCUGAACUUAA
rnacentral:misc_RNA from 1 species